rnacentral:rRNA from 1 species
UGGGGAAUAUUGCACAAUGGAGGGAACUCUGAUGCAGCGACGCCGCGUGAACGAAGAAGGCUUUCGAGUCGUAAAGUUCUUUUAUAUGGGAAGAUAAUGACGGUACCAUAAGAAGAAGCCCCGGCUAACUACGUGCCAGCAGCCGCGGUAAUACGUAGGGGGCUAGCGUUAUCCGGAAUCACUGGGCGUAAAGGGUUCGCAGGCGGAAAUGCAAGUCAGGUGUAAAAGGCAGUAGCUUAACUACUGUAAGCAUUUGAAACUGCAUAUCUUGAGAAGAGUAGAGGUAAGUGGAAUUUUUAGUGUAGCGGUGAAAUGCGUAGAUAUUAAAAAGAAUACCGGUGGCGAAGGCGACUUACUGGGCUCAUUCUGACGCUGAGGAACGAAAGCGUGGGUAGCAAACAGG